rnacentral:piRNA from 1 species
UGUGUUUCGUAUAGUAACUAC